rnacentral:rRNA from 1 species
GCCUAAUACAUGCAAGUCGAGCGCAGGAAUAAACUGAUCCCUUCGGGGUGACGUUUAUGGAAUGAGCGGCGGACGGGUGAGUAACACGUGGGCAACCUGCCUGUAAGAUCGGGAUAACUCGCGGAAACGCGAGCUAAUACCGGAUAAUACUUUUCAUCUCAUGGUGAGAAGUUGAAAGACGGUUUCGGCUGUCACUUACAGAUGGGCCCGCGGCGCAUUAGCUAGUUGGUGAGGUAACGGCUCACCAAGGCGACGAUGCGUAGCCGACCUGAGAGGGUGAUCGGCCACACUGGGACUGAGACACGGCCCAGACUCCUACGGGAGGCAGCAGUAGGGAAUCUUCCGCAAUGGACGAAAGUCUGACGGAGCAACGCCGCGUGAGUGAUGAAGGUUUUCGGAUCGUAAAACUCUGUUGUUAGGGAAGAACAAGUUGGGUAGUAACUGACCCAACCUUGACGGUACCUAACCAGAAAGCCACGGCUAACUACGUGCCAGCAGCCGCGGUAAUACGUAGGUGGCAAGCGUUGUCCGGAAUUAUUGGGCGUAAAGCGCUCGCAGGCGGUCUUUUAAGUCUGAUGUGAAAGCCCACGGCUUAACCGUGGAGGGUCAUUGGAAACUGGAGGACUUGAGUACAGAAGAGGAGAGUGGAAUUCCACGUGUAGCGGUGAAAUGCGUAGAGAUGUGGAGGAACACCAGUGGCGAAGGCGACUCUCUGGUCUGUAACUGACGCUGAGGAGCGAAAGCGUGGGUAGCGAACAGGAUUAGAUACCCUGGUAGUCCACGCCGUAAACGAUGAGUGCUAGGUGUUAGGGGGUUUCCGCCCCUUAGUGCUGAAGUUAACGCAUUAAGCACUCCGCCUGGGGAGUACGGCCGCAAGGCUGAAACUCAAAAGAAUUGACGGGGGCCCGCACAAGCGGUGGAGCAUGUGGUUUAAUUCGAA